UAUUAGUUACGUUUUUUGUAUAAAGUAGCUUUAAGUUUGAUUCUUGCUUAUAAUUUUUAUAUUAUGAUUAAAAAAUACAUGAAAAUUAUAGUGUUCCUUUAUAUUAAAAAUUAAAAAUUAUAUAUAAUAUAAAUCUCAGUAUUUAAUUUUAAAUAUUAAUUAAAAUUAGAAUUGGUAAUCAUUUUAAUCCUGACUAAAAUUUGUGCCAGCAGUCGCGGUUAUACUUAAAGGGUAAAUAAAUACAAUUUGGUGCUAUAGUAAAUUAUUAGUUAAAUAAAAUUUAUUAUUUUUUUUAAAGGGUGAAAUCAGAAUUUAAUUAUAAUAAUAAUUUUAAAUAAAAACAUAAAUAAACUAUAAAUUUUAAUAUAUAAACUAGGAUUAGAUACCCUAUUAUAAUUAAAGUGAAAAAUUGCCAGAUUAUUAACAGCUAUUUUCUUUAAAUCCAGAGAAUUUGGCGGUAUUUUAGUCCUUUUAGAGGAACCUGUUUCAUAAACGAUAAGCCACGAAUAUCUUACCUAAUUUAAAAUUUGUAUACCGUCAUUAUCAGAUAACUUUGAUAGAAUAAGUUGUUGAAAAUAAUAAAAUUAAGAAAAUUAGAUCAAGGUGCAGUUUAUAAUAAGGAGCAAAUGGGUUACAAUAAAAAUAAUUUAAACGGAGUUAAUAAUGAAAUUUAAUAAUGAAGGUGGAUUUAAUUGUAAUAUAAUUAAUUUUAAUUACUUGAUAUAGGCUCUAAAAUAUGUACAUAUCGCCCGUCGCUUUCGCCUAAAAAUGAAAUAAGUCGUAACAAAGUAGAUGUGCCGGAAGGCGUAUCUAGAAGU
rnacentral:ncRNA from 1 species